ensembl:misc_RNA Metazoa_SRP Metazoan signal recognition particle RNA
GUCGGGUGCCUUGGCACGCACCUGUAAUCCCAGCUACUCAGGAGACUGAGGCAGGAGAAUUGCUUGAACCCGGGAGACCGAGGUUGCAGUGAGCUGAGAUUGUGUCACUGCACUCCAGCCUGGGGGACAGAGAAAGACUCUGUCUCAU